AAAAUAUUUUGGUAAAUAAUGGAAACAUUAUGACACAAAACUAUAGGGCCUUUAAAAUGGCAGCCAGUUGCAGCU
rnacentral:ncRNA from 1 species